GGAAGAUGGGCUCGACUUUGAUUUGGGCGGGGCUAUUUUGUAGGUAAUAUGUUUUAUUCAAGCUCUGUUCUGCAAUUUUACUAAGGUCUCAACUUUAGUUAACGAAUCUAAGGUAUCUGGCACUUGAUUUUGUUUCAUGUUGCAAAUUGAAAUUUUUUAGCUCUCAUGAUGGAUGCUUGGUGAAUGGUGAAGAGAUUUUUUCUUUUUCACAACUCAAUGAGUUGUGUAGGGCGAUAGCGAAUGGUUAGUUGUGUUUUAUUUUUCAGGUGCCAGAGACCUUGGACUCUUGAUUAGAAUUAGACAAAAAGACAACUAUUAGUGAUCUUAAUGAAAGGCAUGGUAGGUUUUUUUUUUUUUUGAAGGAAUCCUUUUCUUAUUUUUAAUCACAUCUAGAUAAUUUUGAUCUUAGUUUUUGUGUAAGAAAAACGCUAAGAGACUGAUGAGAUUUGAUUGAAAAAUGUCAAGUAAAUGAAAAUUAUUUUUCUACUUAUUAACUAUCAUCUAGCUCAAAGAUGUUGGCUUUGCAUAGCAUCAAAAUGAUUUGUUGCCACCGUAGUUGAUUUUAAGACUAGUUUGGCUGUUUCCCAACUAUUUUAUGAGUUUUAUUUGACUAAGAUUUUUACUUUGGAAUUCAGAUUGCAUAUUUAUUAAAUUUGUUAAUCUUUGGGUUAUGUAGAGAUUGAUAGUGGCUUGGACCAAGUUGAACAACCUUCUGAGCAAAAACCAGGAUAAAUUGAGUCAGACAGCUGCCAAGAUGGUAAGCAUGGGAUUUAGAGAGAAAGUUGUUCUGCUAUUGGUUUUGGGGUGUAUUAUUUCACUGAUCAGUCCUUACAAAAUAUAGCGGAUAGUGCUCCAACUGGGAGGCAGGUCUCCCCUGACAAGCAGUACAGGACAUCUCUAUUAAAGAAUAAGUUUGCUGAUACAAUUUUAAGAGCACAAGAGAAAACUCUGAAUGAUGGUGAUAAAGGGGAUCCUGAGAAAUUGCGGCGGGAGAGGGAGGAACUUUAACUGCAGCAGAGAAAAG